rnacentral:sRNA from 1 species
CUUGCACCCACACAACCGGACCUGUGCCCAGCGAUCCCCUGUUCGCCUUGUGCGAAUUCAGGGUUGAUUGCUGAGGCAGUUCGAUCACACCAAGGAGCCAUCAAAUCCCCAUGAUGUCAAUUUCCAAUCGACAGGUCCUAGAUCAAUCGGGGUUUGGGAAGCCGGGUUCGCCGUAAAAAAGCUUGAGCCCGGUGGAACACUCCUAUGAAGACGCCAUAUUCCACUCCGUUCGCCGAGAUCGUCGAUCUUUGAGGUUGGGGAAAACCAUGGCUCUCGCCUACAUUA